rnacentral:misc_RNA from 1 species
GGAUGAAGAACGUAGCGAAAUGCGAUAAGUAGUGUGAAUUGCAGAAUUCAGUGAAUCAUCGAAUCUUUGAACGCACAUUGCGCCCCUUGGUAUCCCGAGGGGCAUGCCUGUUCGAGCGUCAUUUCACCACUCAAGCCUGGCUUGGUGUUGGGCGACGUCCCCUUUGGGGACGCGCCUCGAAACGCUCGGCGGCGUGGCACCGGCUUUAAGCGUAGCAGAAUCUUUCGCUUUGGAAGUCGGGGCCCCGUCUGCCGGAAGACCUACUCGCAAGGUUGACCUCGGAUCAGGCAGGGAUACCCGCUGGACUUAAGCAUAUCAAUAAGCGGAGGA